rnacentral:rRNA from 1 species
AGAGUUUGAUCAUGGCUCAGGAUAAACGCUGGCGGCGUGCCUAAUGCAUGCAAGUCGAACGGGACCCUCUUCGGAGGUCGACCGUGGCGGACGGGUGAGGAGCACGUAGCUGACCUGCCCUGGUGUGGGGGAUAUCCUCGGGAAACCGAGUGUAAUACCGCAUGUGCUUCAUUGGAGGGAUCUGAUGAAGGAAAGCCGAGAGGCGUACCAGGAGGGGGCUGCGUCCGAUUAGCUAGUUGGUGGGGUAACGGCCUACCAAGGCGAUGAUCGGUAGCUGGUCUGAGAGGACGAUCAGCCACACGGGGACUGAGACACGGCCCCGACUCCUACGGGAGGCAGCAGCAAGGAAUUUUCCGCAAUGGACGCAAGUCUGACGGAGCAACGCCGCGUGAGUGACGAAGGUUUUCGGAUCGUAAAACUCUGUUGUGAGGGAAGAACAAGUGCCACGUAACUACUGGCACCUUGACGGUACCUCACCAGAAAGCCACGGCUAACUACGUGCCAGCAGCCGCGGUAAUACGUAGGUGGCAAGCGUUGUCCGGAAUUAUUGGGCGUAAAGCGCGCGCAGGCGGUCCUUUAAGUCUGAUGUGAAAGCCCACGGCUCAACCGUGGAGGGUCAUUGGAAACUGGAGGACUUGAGUGCAGAAGAGGAAAGUGGAAUUCCACGUGUAGCGGUGAAAUGCGUAGAGAUGUGGAGGAACACCAGUGGCGAAGGCGACUUUCUGGUCUGUAACUGACGCUGAGGCGCGAAAGCGUGGGGAGCAAACAGGAUUAGAUACCCCCGUAGUCC